UGCCAGUCAUUUAUCGGCCAUUGUAAAUAGCAGGAUCGAGGCCCUGGUGUUCAAAGUAACAACCCACUUGUCAACCCGUUAAGAAGAAUUAGUUCACUACAAUAAUAGAAAACCGGAAGCCUUUGGACCAAUUUAAAAUGAUUAAAACUAAGUACAAAUACAAUGGUCUGAUUAAAACGAUGUAAUCUUACCAAAUGAUAAAAACGAUUUAAUACAGUGAUAUACCAACAAAUGCCUGGUGAUCUAAUCAUGCACUUUCAACGUAUAUUAUUAAUGCACGAUAAUCUAGUAAAUUAGCCUACUCAAAGAUAUGAAUGACUGUAAAAUUGAUAAAAUAAAAAAAAUCGAUUGAGUUGGUAGGUAUCUAUAAUGUAAAUGGCACCACAUAGAUUAUUUUGAUAAAAAUGUGAAUCAUGAGAAUAUAAGAAUGGAUAUUUGUAAGGUAGGUAGUUCGAUAUGUAUUUUGUGGCCAAGUACAUAUAAAAUGAGAUAGCGCUCUACAAUGUGCAUCGUGACGUCUCGCUUCUGCACCUGCUUGUACCAUAAUUUCGUACCAAUGCAUUGGUAUGAGCUAAAUUGUUGGCAAAUUAGUAGUCAGAAAAUGUAUCGAAAUUAUUUUGAGAUUUUAAUAAGUUAAUAAUAUAUUUUUGGCAACAAAAACGUACAACCUACUUGAAUAAAAACUAUUGAGCCAAAAUUACUGAUUUUUAUGGGAAAUCACAGCAAAAUCAACAAAAUCUUUUCAUCCCGUCCGAGUUUCUGAGGAAAUAAACAAAAAAAAAAGGGAUACAGACGAAUAGAGCACCUCCUCAUUUUUGAAAAGCAGAGGCCUUUAAAAUAAUCCUGAAUCUUGUCACUUCUCGUGAGAUUUUUUAAUGUGUUUGCCAUUCUCUGUAACUAGUCUGAUAAUACAUGAUAUUUGAAAUCUGAUACCACAUCGUUUUUCACUUCAACGUGAUGGUCCCAUAUCUGAAGUGUAUUUUUCCAAUCGAUACUAAGUAUAGAUUUAGAUUAAAACCGAUACCAUUCUUGGGUAUUUCCAACACCGAAAUAAGUUUAUUAUUCGGUUUGAGACGACGACACUGGCACAAAAUUCAAAUGACUGACCGCAGCGUUCAAGACAAUGGCAAGUAGUAUUUUAAAAAUGGGAUUUGGUACAUUGUAUUACAGAAAAAGGAAACUUUAUUACACAAUCCAGUGGCAACCGAAAGCUUACGUCUUAAUAUAAAUUGGAUCCCAAAUAAUUGCGACGAAAGGUUCUUUUAAAAGGAUCCAAUCUUCCACUCUUUGAAUUUAGAGGAUAUUUCGGUGGACCUUGCGUCUUCUUAAAACCUAUUGAUUUUUUUUCAAAUGUUUGUUUCAUUCGACAUCGAUUUUUUUUAGGUAAACUGCCUAACUGGGCGGCGAUACACCUUCCCACACACUUCCACCGCCGCUUCGAGCAAUAAAUCCUUCUCUAUUAUGUUAGAGUGAUGCUGACCAUUGUUUUUCUUCCAAAACUGCAUAUUAAUUUAAGACGACGCGUUAGAACCUCUAGAUAUUAUUAUUUUAUCGAUCUUAACUUUUCAGCCUAUGGAAACAUACUUUUAUAAGCAUAGCAGUGCACUGCGUUAGCCGAUUUCGUGGUCUCCAUUAAGGACUCGUCGGCUCCAACGACCAUCGAGAUUUCGUGAAAGGAGCUUGGUCUGGGAGCCGGGCCUGCCGCAACACAAUCCACUGGCACGCUGUAGUCAGCGCACAGAGCAGCCUGGAACAAACGAAUACAACUUUUAUUCACAUGCCCAUAAAGUCGGUUUUUAUUACA